AGGACGAACGCUGGCGGCGUGCCUAACACAUGCAAGUCGAACGGGGAUUUGUUUCGGCAGAAUCCUAGUGGCGAACGGGUGAGUAACGCGUAGGCAACCUGCCCUCCGGCCGGGGACAACACUCCGAAAGGGGUGCUAAUACCGGAUACGAAGUCUGUGCCGCAUGGUACGGAUUUGAAAGAUGGCCUCUAUUUAUAAGCUAUCGCCGGGGGAUGGGCCUGCGUCCGAUUAGCUGGUUGGUGGGGUAACGGCCUACCAAGGCGACGAUCGGUAGCCGGUCUGAGAGGAUGAACGGCCACAUUGGGACUGAGACACGGCCCAGACUCCUACGGGAGGCAGCAGUGGGGAAUCUUCCGCAAUGGGCGCAAGCCUGACGGAGCAACGCCGCGUGAGUGAGGAAGUUCUUCGGAACGUAAAGCUCUGUUGUUCCUGACGAACCUCCCUUCUAUCAACAACGGAAGGGACUGACGGUAGGGAACGAGGAAGCCACGGCUAACUACGUGCCAGCCGCAGC
rnacentral:rRNA from 1 species